UACGGGGGGGGCAAGCGUUGUUCGGAAUUACUGGGCGUAAAGGGCUCGUAGGCGGCCAACUAAGUCAGACGUGAAAUCCCCAGGCUCAACCUGGGAACUGCGUCUGAUACUGGAUGGCUUGAAUCCGGGAGAGGGAUGCAGAAUUCCAGGUGUAGCGGUGAAAUGCGUAGAUAUCGGAAGGAACGCCGGUGGCGAAAGCGGCGUGCUGGACCUCUUCUGACGCUGAGGCGCGAAAGCUAGGGGAGCAAACGGG
rnacentral:rRNA from 1 species